UCAAGAAAAGUUUCUGUUUGAACUUCUCCGGUUAAUAUAGAUGAACUCAAUUAUCUUUUUAAUAUGCACUCACAUGAGCUCGUUUGGAUUUGUGUGUAUAUUUGUAACACAAUCAGUUGAGAUCUGGAGAGAUCGUAAGUUCAGUUGGCCUUGGCAUCACGAGCGGGUUCAGUUCGAUCUCGCACAGUGGGCAGGUCCCCGAUGGUGUGUGCGUCAGGUCUACUCGCACGAGUGGACGUCAAAUCACGCAAGUGGGCAGGUCCCCAAUGCUCGAUCCAGGAGGUGCUAGCUCAUGCUGGCUGGAACUAGGAUGCAAAACGGUUGACGGAUCCAUGCCGCACAAGCACUGGUACUUGAAGGGUGCAGACUUGGCAGCGGAGUGGUUUGUUCAACAACAGUACAAUGACAGAAAGAACAUCAGUUCAAAAAAAUAUGCAGGAGGUUUGGGAGCCAAACAACUGGAGGUUCAAAGAUUGUCGUGGAGCAAGUUCAAGAGUUUGUUUUCAUGUGAAAAAAUGUGAUUUUUUGGUCAAGAUUUUGCAUGAUUG